UACGUAGGUGGCAAGCGUUGUCCGGAUUUACUGGGCGUAAAGAGCGCGCAGGCGGUCGUGCAAGUCGCGUGUGAAAGCCCCCGGCUCAACUGGGGAGGGUCACGCGAUACUGUUCGACUCGAAGGCAGGAGAGGGAAGUGGAAUUCCCGGUGUAGUGGUGAAAUGCGUAGAUAUCGGGAGGAACACCAGUGGCGAAGGCGACUACCUGGCCUGUUCUUGACGCUGAGGCGCGAAAGCUAGGGGAGCAAACGGG
rnacentral:rRNA from 1 species